CUGGAAACGGGGUCUAAUACCGGAUACGACUACUGAGGGCAUCCUUGGUGGUGGAAAGCUCCGGCGGUGAAGGAUGAGCCCGCGGCCUAUCAGCUUGUUGGUGGGGUGAUGGCCUACCAAGGCGACGACGGGUAGCCGGCCUGAGAGGGCGACCGGCCACACUGGGACUGAGACACGGCCCAGACUCCUACGGGAGGCAGCAGUGGGGAAUAUUGCACAAUGGGCGAAAGCCUGAUGCAGCGACGCCGCGUGAGGGAUGACGGCCUUCGGGUUGUAAACCUCUUUCAGCAGGGAAGAAGCGAAAGUGACGGUACCUGCAGAAGAAGCGCCGGCUAACUACGUGCCAGCAGCCGCGGUAAUACGUAGGGCGCAAGCGUUGUCCGGAAUUAUUGGGCGUAAAGAGCUCGUAGGCGGCUUGUCACGUCGGAUGUGAAAGCCCGGGGCUUAACCCCGGGUCUGCAUUCGAUACGGGCUAGCUAGAGUGUGGUAGGGGAGAUCGGAAUUCCUGGUGUAGCGGUGAAAUGCGCAGAUAUCAGGAGGAACACCGGUGGCGAAGGCGGAUCUCUGGGCCAUUACUGACGCUGAGGAGCGAAAGCGUGGGGAGCGAACAGGAUUAGAUACCCUGGUAGUCCACGCCGUAAACGUUGGGAACUAGGUGUUGGCGACAUUCCACGUCGUCGGUGCCGCAGCUAACGCAUUAAGUUCCCCGCCUGGGGAGUACGGCCGCAAGGCUAAAACUCAAAGGAAUUGACGGGGGC
rnacentral:rRNA from 1 species